rnacentral:rRNA from 1 species
GACGAACGCUGGCGGCGUGCCUAAUACAUGCAAGUCGAGCGAAUCGAUGGGAGCUUGCUCCCUGAGAUUAGCGGCGGACGGGUGAGUAACACGUGGGUAACCUGCCUGUAAGACUGGGAUAACUUCGGGAAACCGGAGCUAAUACCGGAUAAUUUCUUUUCUCGCAUGAGGAGAGAUGGAAAGAUGGUUCUGCUAUCACUUACAGAUGGACCCGCGGCGCAUUAGCUAGUUGGUAAGGUAACGGCUCACCAAGGCGACGAUGCGUAGCCGACCUGAGAGGGUGAACGGCCACACUGGGACUGAGACACGGCCCAGACUCCUACGGGAGGCAGCAGUAGGGAAUCUUCCGCAAUGGACGAAAGUCUGACGGAGCAACGCCGCGUGAGCGAAGAAGGCCUUCGGGUCGUAAAGCUCUGUUGUUAGGGAAGAACAAGUACGAGAGUAACUGCUCGUACCUUGACGGUACCUAACCAGAAAGCCACGGCAAACUUCGUGCCAGCCGCCGCGGUAACAC